CCUACGGGUGGCAGCAGUGGGGAAUAUUGGACAAUGGGCGAAAGCCUGAUCCAGCCAUGCCGCGUGUGUGAAGAAGGCCUUCGGGUUGUAAAGCACUUUCAGUGGGGAAGAAAGCCUUGGGGCUAAUACCUUCGAGGAAGGACAUCACCCACAGAAGAAGCACCGGCUAACUCCGUGCCAGCAGCCGCGGUAAUACGGAGGGUGCGAGCGUUAAUCGGAAUUACUGGGCGUAAAGCGCGCGUAGGCGGUCUGAUAAGCCGGUUGUGAAAGCCCCGGGCUCAACCUGGGAACGGCAUCCGGAACUGUCAGGCUAGAGUGCAGGAGAGGAAGGUAGAAUUCCCGGUGUAGCGGUGAAAUGCGUAGAGAUCGGGAGGAAUACCAGUGGCGAAGGCGGCCUUCUGGACUGACACUGACGCUGAGGUGCGAAAGCGUGGGUAGCAAACAGGAUUAGAUACCCUUGUAGUC
rnacentral:rRNA from 1 species